rnacentral:lncRNA from 1 species
AGUUGAAGCCUGGUCGGUGUACGGCGACGGUUGGGACACUGCUUCUCCGUUAUGCUAGAACUAAGGCUUGUGGAUGGAGGGAGCUUCUGCUACUACAGGUGCCUUGCAUGAUGAACCUGUCUGUGGUGGAUUAACUGAUGAUGGUUCACCAGUUCCUGAGGAUGAGCCAGCCUGAAAAAAAAAGCCUGCAAUGCUUAAGCUCCCAGCAUCCUGAGUCACCAAGUCCAACAUCCACCACUGCUAUUUCUUAGGAUAUUUUUUCUUCACUUGAGUUUAAGUAAAAAUUAUUUAGAUCUAGCUUCUUAUUUGAAUCCUUUUGUUGUCAUUUUUUAACUUUUCUUCUUCUUCUUCGCGUUGAUCGUCAGCAAAACUUUGUCCCACCAGUGAUUUAUAAAAAAAAGUAAUAUUGCUCUUUAGUGCAGUCGCUUUGUACUUAACUGAGAUCCGGUCCAACCAAAUAGAUACACAUAUUACUAAAAUCAUCAUGGCCUUGCUUCCAAAUUUGCUACUAAACUGAGAAUAAUAAAAGUCCAGUCAAAUACCAAAUAAUAGUUAAUCGCAAUAACAAUAAUCCCAAUUCAUAUCAGCUAUGUUUUGGUUCUUGGUCUUUUGAGUUUCCACACAUCAAUCCAACCCAAGGCCUAUAAAUUUCUAAUUCCUCCAUAUUCACAUUAACGUUUUCUGCAGCUUUCUCUUCUGAGACCUUCAUCUCAACAUCACCAUAUCUUCAAAUGGCACUCAUGCUCAUCCUUAUGUCGCACUGGCAAUAUCAUGUAAGGUACGUUCAGUUCU